UUCGUGUUUACAUCGUAACGGGUGGAAAAGGUGUAUGGGACCUCGGAGAGCCAUGAAUCCCAAAUUAAGAAGUAUGGCUUUGAAUCAUUAUACAACGUGGAAGAAGCUGCUGUCCUCGGGAACUUGGAGCUACACAGGAACUUCUGUGGACAUUGAGAGAACUGUCCCUGGUGGCCAGAACAGAUGGUCUCAAUCCCAAUGCUGCCCUGAUGUUUGUAGCCAAGAGUUAAGAAGAUUAGGAUUCUGAAGGUAUGAACAAGGGACUUCAACAUCUUAUUUUUAAGGAAAAUAUGGUACAUUUGAGACUGUUUAAGUUACUUCCACAGCCUGACCCCACCCCACUUUCUUUUGGCUCUUCCUCCUGUUAAGGGAAGAACUUUUCUUUUGCUAGCAGCUUGUGGGUUGUGAUGAAAUAGAUAAAGGUACAAGGGGAAAAAAAGAAGGAAAGACGUGUUUUCCAGCAUUGAGGAGGUGGCCUGAGGGCAGCAGGACAAAGCAAGC
rnacentral:lncRNA from 1 species